CUACCGAUUGAAUGGCUCAGUGAGGCGUCCGGACUGGCCCAGAGAGGUGGGCAACUACCACUCAGGGCCGGAAAGCUCUCCAAACUCGGUCAUUUAGAGGAAGUAAAAGUCGUAACAAGGUCUCCGUUGGUGAACCAGCGGAGGGAUCAUUACCGAGUUUACAACUCCCAAACCCCUGUGAACAUACCACUUGUUGCCUCGGCGGAUCAGCCCGCUCCCGGUAAAACGGGACGGCCCGCCAGAGGACCCCUAAACUCUGUUUCUAUAUGUAACUUCUGAGUAAAACCAUAAAUAAAUCAAAACUUUCAACAACGGAUCUCUUGGUUCUGGCAUCGAUGAAGAACGCAGCAAAAUGCGAUAAGUAAUGUGAAUUGCAGAAUUCAGUGAAUCAUCGAAUCUUUGAACGCACAUUGCGCCCGCCAGUAUUCUGGCGGGCAUGCCUGUUCGAGCGUCAUUUCAACCCUCAAGCACAGCUUGGUGUUGGGACUCGCGUUAAUUCGCGUUCCUCAAAUUGAUUGGCGGUCACGUCGAGCUUCCAUAGCGUAGUAGUAAAACCCUCGUUACUGGUAAUCGUCGCGGCCACGCCGUUAAACCCCAACUUCUGAAUGUUGACCUCGGAUCAGGUAGGAAUACCCGCUGAACUUAAG
rnacentral:rRNA from 1 species